rnacentral:lncRNA from 1 species
GGUGGAGGUAUGGGACUGUAGGUGGAGGUAUGGGACUGUAGGUGGAGGUAUGGGACUGGAGGUGGGGGUAUAGAGGUAUGGGACUGUAGGUGGGGGGAUAGAGGUAUGUGACUGUAGGUGGGGGUAUAGAGGUAUGGGACUGUAGGUAUAGAGGUAUGGGACUGUAGGUGGAGGUAUGGGACUGUAGGUGGAGGUAUAGAGGUAUGGGACUGUAGGUGGAGGUAUAGAGGUAUGGGACUGUAGGUGGAGGUAUAGAGGUAUGGGACUGUAGGUGGAGGUAUAGAGGUAUGGGACUGUAGGUGGAGGUAUAGAGGUAUGGGAUUGUAGGUGGAGGUAUAGAGGUAUGGGAUUGUAGGUGGAGGUAUAGAGGUAUGGGACUGUAGGUGGAGGUAUAGCGGUAUGGG